UGUUAUGAUUGAUUACCUAACCAAAUGGGCACAAGCUUACCCUCUUAAAACUAAAACGGCUAAAGAGGUAUCUGGCUGUAUCCUCAAAUUUUUUUACCAGUUUGAGGCUCCCAAGAGGAUUCUUACAGACCAGGGGAAGGAGUUUGUAAAUCAGAUCAACACUGAUGUCUGCAAGAUCCUUGGGAUAAAAAGAAGCCUUUGUGCGCCAUAUCAUCCUCAAACCAAUGGUCUUGUUGAGAAAAUGAAUGGUACCAUACAAAGGCUGCUCGACACACCACUGCCACAAGCCACAUCAAAAACCAAAAGACCACAAAAUCUAAUUUCAAGGUGGGUGACAAAGUGUGGCGGUUGAAUGUGAGAAGCCAGCAGCGAAAGGGAGGAAAGUUGGAGCCUGACUUCUUGGGGCCUUUCAAAGUCAUAGCUCUACAGGACAAGAGUGCUGAUCUGGAAAGUGAGGGAGGUCGUGGUUUUCCUAAAAUCAACACCGACCACCUGAAAAUACACACCGACAAAAAGGAAAGAAUACCACAUAAGAUCCUCAACUCCACAGGGGUAACCUCAAUCUCUGCCUCGAUCCCUGCCUCCACUCCCACCCCUGCUUCCACCCUCCACCUCUGACUCCACAACCAUCCCUACCUCCACCUCUGACUCCACAACCAUCCCUACCUCCACCUCUGACUCCACAACCAUCCCUACCUCCACCUCUGACUCCACAACCAUCCCUACCUCCACCUCUGACUCCACAACCAUCCCUAC